CCGGCGUGAGGGACGAAGGCCUUCGGGUUGUAAACCUCUGGUCACCGGGGAAGAAACGCUGUAUUUUAAUAGAAUACAGCCUGACUUAACCCGGAGAGGAAGCAGUGGCUAACUCUGUGCCAGCAGCCGCGGUAAUACAGAGACUGCGAGCGUUAUUCGGAUUCACUGGGCGUAAAGGGUGCGCAGGCGGCCGUGUGUGUCAGGUGUGAAAGCCCCGAGGCUCAACCUCGGAAUUGCGCCUGAAACUACACGGCUAGAGUAUUGGAGAGGGUAGCGGAAUUCACGGUGUAGCAGUGAAAUGCGUAGAUAUCGUGAGGAACACCAGAGGCGAAGGCGGCUACCUGGACAAUUACUGACGCUCAGGCACGAAAGCGUGGGGAGCAAAAGGGAUUAGAUACCCCUGUAGUCCACGCCCUAAACGGUGCACACUAGGUCUUGGCGGAUUCGACCCCGCCAGGGCCCCAGCUAACGCGUUAAGUGUGCCGCCUGAGGACUACGGCCGCAAGGCUA
rnacentral:rRNA from 1 species